ACUCCUACGGGAGGCAGCAGUGGGGAAUAUUGCACAAUGGGCGCAAGCCUGAUGCAGCCAUGCCGCGUGUAUGAAGAAGGCCUUCGGGUUGUAAAGUACUUUCAGCAGUGAGGAAGGCGGAGUCGUUAAUAGCGGCCUCGUUUGACGUUAGCUGCAGAAGAAGCACCGGCUAACUCCGUGCCAGCAGCCGCGGUAAUACGGAGGGUGCGAGCGUUAAUCGGAAUUACUGGGCGUAAAGCGCAUGCAGGUGGUUUGUUAAGUCAGAUGUGAAAGCCCGGGGCUCAACCUCGGAAUUGCAUUUGAAACUGGCAGACUAGAGUACUGUAGAGGGGGGUAGAAUUUCAGGUGUAGCGGUGAAAUGCGUAGAGAUCUGAAGGAAUACCGGUGGCGAAGGCGGCCCCCUGGACAGAUACUGACACUCAGAUGCGAAAGCGUGGGGAGCAAACAGGAUUAGAUA
rnacentral:rRNA from 1 species